rnacentral:rRNA from 1 species
UAAGGAAUAUUGCUCAAUGGGAGAAAUCCUGAAGCAGCAACGCCGCGUGGAGGAUGAAGGGUCUAUGACUUGUAAACUCCUGUAAAGAAGGAAAAAAUUCCCAUUUGAUGGGAGAUGAUGGUACUUCUGGAGUAAGCCCCGGCUAACUACGUGCCAGCAGCCGCGGUAAUACGUAGGGUGCAAGCGUUGUCCGGAUUUACUGGGUGUAAAGGGUGCUCAGGCGGAUUUGUAAGUCAGAGGUGAAAUCUUACAGCUUAACUGUGAAACUGCCUUUGAUACUCCAAGCCUAGGGUAUGGAAGAGAGUGAUGGAAUAUCUGGUGUAGCAGUGAAAUGCGUAGAUAUCAGAUAGAACGCCAAUGGCGAAGGCAGUCACUUGGUCCAUUACUGACGCUAAAGCACGAAAGCGUGGGUAGCAAACA